CCUACGGGAGGCAGCAGUAAGGAAUAUUGGUCAAUGGACGAAAGUCUGAACCAGCCAUGCCGCGUGAAGGAUGAAGGCCCUCUGGGUUGUAAACUUCUUUUAUCUGGGACGAAAAAAGCUCAUUCUUGAGCACUUGACGGUACCAGAGGAAUAAGCACCGGCUAACUCCGUGCCAGCAGCCGCGGUAAUACGGAGGGUGCAAGCGUUAUCCGGAUUCACUGGGUUUAAAGGGUGCGUAGGUGGGUCUGUAAGUCAGUGGUGAAAUCUCCGAGCUUAACUCGGAAACUGCCAUUGAUACUAUAGGUCUUGAAUCAUCUGGAGGUAAGCGGAAUAUGUCAUGUAGCGGUGAAAUGCUUAGAUAUGACAUAGAACACCAAUUGCGAAGGCAGCUUACUACGGGUGUAUUGACACUGAGGCACGAAAGCGUGGGGAUCAAACAGGAUUAGAUACCCUGGUAGUCCACGCCCUAAACGAUGGAUACUCGACAUCAGCGAUACACUGUUGGUGUCUGAGCGAAAGCAUUAAGUAUCCCACCUGGAAGUACGACCGCAAGGUUGAAACUCAAAUGAAUUGACGG
rnacentral:rRNA from 1 species